AGAGUUUGAUCCUGGCUCAGGACGAACGCUGGUGGCGCGCCUAACACAUGCAAGUCGAACGAGAGAUGAGGAGCUUGCUCUUCAAAUCGAGUGGCGAACGGGUGAGUAACGCGUGAGGAACCUGCCUCAAAGAGGGGGACAACAGUUGGAAACGACUGCUAAUACCGCAUAAGCCCACGGCUCGGCAUCGAGCAGAGGGAAAAGGAGCAAUCCGCUUUGAGAUGGCCUCGCGUCCGAUUAGCUAGUUGGUGAGGUAAUGGCCCACCAAGGCGACGAUCGGUAGCCGGACUGAGAGGUUGAACGGCCACAUUGGGACUGAGACACGGCCCAGACUCCUACGGGAGGCAGCAGUGGGGAAUAUUGCACAAUGGGGGAAACCCUGAUGCAGCGACGCCGCGUGGAGGAAGAAGGUCUUCGGAUUGUAAACUCCUGUUGUUGAGGAAGAUAAUGACGGUACUCAACAAGGAAGUGACGGCUAACUACGUGCCAGCAGCCGCGGUAAAACGUAGGUCACAAGCGUUGUCCGGAAUUACUGGGUGUAAAGGGAGCGCAGGCGGGAGAACAAGUUGGAAGUGAAAUCCAUGGGCUCAACCCAUGAACUGCUUUCAAAACUGUUUUUCUUGAGUAGUGCAGAGGUAGGCGGAAUUCCCGGUGUAGCGGUGGAAUGCGUAGAUAUCGGGAGGAACACCAGUGGCGAAGGCGGCCUACUGGGCACCAACUGACGCUGAGGCUCGAAAGUGUGGGUAGCAAACAGGAUUAGAUACCCUGGUAGUCCACACCGUAAACGAUGAUUACUAGGUGUUGGAGGAUUGACCCCUUCAGUGCCGCAGUUAACACGAUAGGUAAUCCACCUGGGGAGUACGACCGCAA
rnacentral:rRNA from 1 species